rnacentral:snRNA from 1 species
UUCUUUACAAGUAGCGGUAUUUC